rfam:Schistosoma rodhaini strain Burundi genome assembly, scaffold: SROB_scaffold0006848
GCACUUCUGAGGAGUCUCACCAUAAGAUGAAACGACCGUCCAGUGC